UAGUUAUCACUAGAGGCAAGCAUAGGUUAAUUUUUAAAAUUAAUUUUAAAUUUAAAAAAAAUUCCAAAAUAACUCCUUUUUUUUCUUUUUUGAUAGAGUGAAAUUCAUUUGUAUACAGUUGAACAACUGUAUACAAAAUAUCUUUGAGGGAAAUUUCUAGUCAUAUACUUUAGGACUUUGGACUUGGUUCUAUCCUGUUUUGCAUACAGGACUUUGGUGAAAGAUACCCUGCCCCCUAAUUAAAAAGAAUUGAGUUCAAAGUCCUGAUUCCAUUGCUCACUGACCAUGUCAUCAUGGGGCGAGUCAUUUCAUCGUUCUACGAUUCAGUUCUUCAACUACAAUGUUGUGAGCAUUCAUUUCCGGAUCUCAAAGAACCAGCCAUGGAUAGCUCCAGGAUGAGGCCAGAAGCUCUCCCAAGCACAGAGGCUCCUGGAGCAAAGGCCUGUAUGCAUGCCCAAGGAAGGCCUUCUCAAAACUCAGGACCAGAGAAGGGUUCUGAUUCUGUUUUCAAUAGUCUACAUGCAGCAAUCAGGAAAAGAAAAAGAACGCUCCCAACAGAUCAAAGUCAGAACAUCUUAAAAUGGAAAUGAACAUUUAAAAGAGGCCUUUCUCAAGGGAAGCCUUGGCAGUAAAUCAGAGCUUUUGAGAGGCAACUGGGGCCUGUGCUGAUUUUUGAAUAACUCAUCGUUUAAUAAAUGUUCUUUUUUUGUGGCCCUUUGGGGAAAA
rnacentral:lncRNA from 1 species